rnacentral:rRNA from 1 species
GGGCACUUUACCAGAAAUCCUACCUACUACGAGGUUACUUCCAGAUAAGCAGCAACUACAAGCUAAAAUGGUCGCGGGCAUGUAACACGUUUUUGUCAGACCAUCAAAAAGUGACCUUCCACCGUACAUGGAGAUGGGACACUCCCUUGGCAGCGUUGCACACUUCAACACUAUAUUUAGUAGCAUAUAAUGAACUCAGCAAGUUCAGACAUGAAGACUGAAGAAAAUAUAAUAUAGGUUUAGAGAAUUCCAAAUUUCAAAUUUCACUCUCACCUAAAUGUUUUUCACAAAAUACUUGAGAACUUAAACUACAUACACAUGUGAAUCUGGACUGAAAUACUACAACAUAGGCUAGCAAAUAACAACAGCUUCACCCAGCAAAAGGGCACAACACAUAACAACAGUAGUAGUGUAGCGGCCAGAUUGGUCUUCAUCUAGCAGCAGAUUUACAUGGAGGAGCAGCAAGAAUUCACACGUUCAAGCAAAAGACAAUGGGAAGGUCGAUCAGAUGCGCCAAAGAAGGCCACCUGCGAUGGAUGCUUAGGCAGGGCAGGAGGCCCUGCCGACAGCGCAAUGCCCCUGAGGCAACAACUUUCGGGAGAAGGGGCGUUGGAGCAGGGGCCCGAUGGAUCAUGGGGAACAGGGCGACGGAGCUCGGGAGGUGGCUGACGGAGCUUGCAGGGGGGCGAGGCAGUCAGGCGGUGAUGGGAUCCGUGGAAUCAUGCAUGGGGUGCUGGUGGGCGGUGGCGGUGGAUCCGUGCCGGCGCGCCACGGGGUGUGGGGGACAGCCCACUCCGUUGGAGCGAGAAGGGAGGAGGUGGCUGGCUGAGGCGCGCCGAGCUGCUCCUGGUGCCGGCGCCCCUGUUCUGCUCCUCCAGGCGCCGGUGCCUCUUCCUUGUGUUCCUCCGUCCCGGAGGAACUCGGGCAAGACCGGUUCCGCGCACAGAGGGGAUAUCCCGGUGGUGGUGAACGGCGGCGUGAUCGGUUGUCGUGGCUAGCUCCGCCGCUGGGAUUCGGUAGGAGGCGGCGGCGCCCGGAUCGGGUGGAGGAACUUGGUCGUGCGGGAUGGCGGGUUGGAUUGGAAUCCGGGCGACGUGCUGGACCGCGUUGGCCGGCGAGGUUGAACUGAGCGACAGGAGAGUGGGUGGCCUGUCCUGCGGAGUGUGGUGGUGGUGCGGCGACGGACGGGCCUCGCGCGGCGGCGGGAAGAUGUCGCCCAACGACGACCGUAUCUCGCGCGGCGGCGGGAAGAUGUCGCCCAACAGCGCGAUCCGCACGGCAGCGCGGUGGUGGUAGGUGGCCGGAGUUAGGUGGAGGCGGGAAGCACGCCGGAGCCAUCGGGCAGCGGCGAGAGGCGCGUCGGAGCCAGGUAGGCGGCGGCGGGAGGUUGGUCGGGGAGGAUCGUGGGAGGAUGUGGGGGUAGUGGAUAAGAUGGGCGCAGAGGGAUUUUUUCUUUUAGUGGAA